GAUGAACGCUGGCGGCGUGCUUAACACAUGCAAGUCGAACGAAGCACUUAUAAAUCUUCGGAUGAGUAAGUGACUUAGUGGCGGACGGGUGAGUAACGCGUGGAUAACCUGCCUUAUACCGGGGGAUAACAUCCGGAAACGGAUGCUAAAACCGCAUAAGCGCACAGUGCCGCAUGGCAUGGUGUGAAAAACUCCGGAGGUAUAAGAUGGAUCCGCGUCUGAUUAGCCAGUUGGCGGGGUAACGGCCCACCAAAGCGACGAUCAGUAGCCGGCCUGAGAGGGUGAACGAGCACAUUGGGACUGAGACACGGCCCAAACUCCUACGGGAGGCAGCAGUGGGGAAUAUUGGACAAUGGGGGAAACCCUGAUCCAGCAACGCUGCGUGAAGGACGAAGGUCUUCGGAUUGUAAACUUCUUUUGUUGGGGACGAAAGCCCGCAAGGGUGUGACGGUACCCGAUGAAUAAGCCACGGCUAACUACGUGCCAGCAGCCGCCGUAA
rnacentral:rRNA from 1 species